rnacentral:lncRNA from 1 species
AGGGUGAUCACUAUCAAGGAUUCCGAAGGGUUGAUUAGGAUAUCUAGGUUGGCUACUACUUUCAACUUGCUUAUCUUUUCUAGGUCGGGGAGCCGGGGAGGGGGAGUCUUUUGGCCACUACUUUCACCGAUUUUACCUUUUCCUUUACCGAACAUAUUUUUCAACGAAAAUGCCAUAAUAAUUAGAAUUAAGCAAACUAAAAACACCUUUACCGAACUUUUUUUUCAACGAAAAUGCCAUACUAAUUAUAAUUAAGCAAACUAACAACACACAAAAAAUACUAUUAGCACGUAAGAGUUGAAACGAGUUUACCGG